rnacentral:rRNA from 1 species
AACGAACGCUGGCGGCAGGCUUAACACAUGCAAGUCGAACGCGUGUAGCAAUACACGAGUGGCGCACGGGUGAGUAACGCGUGGAUAUCUGCCUUUUUGGUUCGGAAUAACUCCGGGAAACUGGAGCUAAUACCGGAUGGUUCCUACGGGAUAAAGAUUUAUCGCCAAUAGAUGAGUCCGCGUACGAUUAGCUAGUUGGUGAGGUAAUGGCUCACCAAGGCGACGAUCGUUAGCUGGCCUGAGAGGACGAUCAGCCACCACUGGGACGUGAGACACGGCCCGAGACUCCUACGGGAGGCAGCAGUGGGGAAGU